GUUUCACCAUGUUAGCCAGGAUUGUCUGGAUCUCCUGACCUCGUGAUCCGCCCGCCUCGUCCUCCCAAAGUGCUGGGAUUACAGGCAUGAGCCACUGCACCCAGCUGGAGUCAUUUAACAUUUUAGAUAAGAGAUGCACAGCAAAGUCACUGCCAUUCAGAGCAGACUCUGAAAAUCAAAUCACAUGUCUCACCUUGAAUCUCCACCUAGUGACAACCACGAACUUGAGCGUGUGGUCCUUGCCCAGGAUCUCCUCGUUGCAUAAAAUGUCCAGCUGGGGGAUAAGGAGGUUUGAUUAGCAGCAGAGAGGUGCUCAACCCACACUGACAUGGCCACCUUGAUGCUGGCCCCAUCACACCCCGUCUACCACACCUGCCGUACUGAGCAACGGGAAGAGGUGGUUUGCGCCCCAUGAGCAGCCCUGACAGCUCCGGAAUCGGGCACCCUGGUUCCCCAGGUGGCACAGUCUCCUGCGGCUGCCGUGGAAAUUAUCACGAGGUGGUGUCUUCAAACAAUAGAAAUGUACUCAGUUCCAGAGUCCAUAACAGCCACGCUCCCUCUGCAGGCUCCGGGGGAGAAGCACAGUCCAUUCCGUGCUGCUGCCACAGAACACCACACACUGGGUGAUUUAUGAAGAACAAAUUGAUUUCAGCACAGUUCUGGGAGCUGGGACAUUCAAGGUCACCACGUUGCCACCUGUGAAGGCCUUCUGCUGCGUCCUCAUGUUGGGGAAGAUCAGAAGUGAGAACACAUGCUGGCCAGUCCUUUCACAGCAGCAUCAAUCCGUGCAUGGGGCAGGGCCCUCGGCCUGAGUGCCUCCCCCAGGCCCUAACUCCCAGCACUGCCCUGCUGGGGAUGGAAUUUCCAACAUAUGAAUCUGGGGGAUGCCUUCGGACCACAACCGGGGAGCCUGCCCUGGCUUCCAGCUGCUGGUGGCCCAGGGGCUCCCUGGCUCGCCUCGAGGCUGCCUCCCUCCAGCCUCCAGUCUGUCCUCUGCUCUGUCCUCACCAGGGCCUCCUGUCUCGAGUCUUCCUCCGCCUCACUUGUGUCGUGGGAUUUAGGCUCCACCCAGAUAUUCCAGAAUUAUUUCAUCCCAAAAUCCUUUAUUUAAUUAUAUCUACAAAGAUCCUUUUCCAAACAAGGUCCCAUUUGCAGGCUCUGGGGGUGAGGAUGUGGCUUAUCUUCUGGGGCCACCACUGAGUCCACUGCUGCUACAGACAGCAUCUCAAGUCUGUCCACUUCUCCACCCUGACCGCCCCCACCACAGUCCUCUCCUGCAACUCCUGGCGCUGGCCUCUCCUGCGUCCAUUUCUGCACAGCCUGAGCGAUUUUCAAAAACGACACCUCAGACCCAUGCUCCUGCCCACAGCCGCCAGCGCCUUCUGUCUCCAUGCAAAGCUGGACCCUGCUGGCGCCUGCAUCCCCAUGGUGUCACUGCCUUGGGGGCUCACAGGGACCCACACUGGCAUGUUCAUGGUGCGCCUGCUGCCAAGGCCGCCUCAUGCCAGCACUCCUUCGUCUCCUUACACACCACAGCCUGGAAGGGUCCUCCCUCUCUGCAUCCGCCCAUGUCUCCCCUUGUGAAAUUAAAGCACAGAAUUUCUUGUUUUGAGGAAAACCUUUAUCCUAUUUUAAAACAAUCUCAUCAUCCCCGCCCUAGUUCUCUCUUCCACUCACAGUAGCGUUCCACGUUCCCUGUCUCUGGGCAUCCUACAACCCUUAGGGCUGUCUCCUAUCCCGCUCCCCGGUGAAGCAGGCAAAACUGAUUUUUUUCUGGUUAAAAUCUCCAAAGUUGUUAAAAACAAAACAAAACUAAGCAAAGAAUCUUAGAAGUGUUACCUUUAGAAAUAAGAGAGGACUUGUUAUGGUUUCUACUUAGGGAUCAACUGUUACCUCGUUAAAGGACGAAAGGUUGAGUUUUUUGGCGAUGAACUUCUUCAGAUGCAAGACGGUCGCCUGGGCUGAGCAGCGGAUCCACUUCCGCUUCAGCCCCCGCAGUUUGCUGCUGUUACACUCCAGGCAGAUGCUCACCUGCAGGAAAGGACGCUGGUGAGAGCGCAGCAGGAGGGUUCCCCCGGACGGUUCUGGAGACUUCCUUAGACAUAUUUCACUAAUUCCUCAAUCUAGGACUGCUGACCUUUUUAAGAUCAGACAUCUGCUUUGACUUCAACACUGCAGAAAAAGAAUCUUACAUACCUUAUCUGAAAACCUGUUUAUCGUCUGCUUGCCGUUUUGUGAACUAUAACCUCACCCUGUUAAUUCUGUGUGUUAUUAACAUGAUAGUUGAGAGUUAAUCCCAGAGUUAUUUAUCCAUCGCAGGCAUUGGCUUCUUGGUCUCCAGCUAAGCCUGUCCGGACAAACACGGCGCAAAGGGGAGUGGGCGGCCCCGUGUCUGCGAAUGCACUCGGGGAGACAGCAGCGACUACGGGGAGACAGCAGGGAGAAGCCUUGAGCAGGGCCACAGGCGGAAGGUCACAGCUGCCUUCCAGGUUACCAGCAGUUUGGCCGCAGGAUAAAAAGUGACUGAAGGGGACUGUGGAGUCCCAGCAGCCACGGGCUCCCUGCCGGUGCGAAAAGGAAUCUGCCCAGGACGAGGCUUCACCCAAGGGCCCGGCCGGCUUGGCCCUCAAGAUGUGCCUGACAAGGAAGGGCGACGCUCACGGCAAACGCUUCUACAGGUGGAGCCGCAACAAACGGCACAGUUAGGGCCUAAAAAUGCAGUGGAAGGAUGGACAGGGGGUUCACUGAAAUAUGUCUAAAAUUACAAAAGAUACAAAAGGGAGGACACCAGGGGUACAGACGGGCAAGUAUUGAAGGUAAUCAGAUACAAUUCCUAAAAAUAAAAACACUCACGGAAACUAACAUCUCAGUGGAUGGCUGAACCACAGAUUCUUCUCAGCCAAGGACAGAUUAAUGUCCUAAAAAAAAAAUUCACUUGAGGAAGUUACCCAUCAGGAGUAGAGAUAAACACACCAAUUCAAACAAUAAAAGGAAGGCUAAGAGAAAGGGGAGAAGACGGGAGCCCCAGAGGGAAGAACAGAAAGGAAAGAAGUGUAAGAAACAGUGACUAAGGAUCUCCCACAACAGUGAAGGACAGUC
rnacentral:lncRNA from 1 species